GUAAUGUCUGGGAAACUGCCUGAUGGAGGGGGAUAACUACUGGAAACGGUAGCUAAUACCGCAUAAUGUCGCAAGACCGAAAGAGGGGGACCUUCGGGCCUCUUGCCAUCGGAUGUGCCCAGAUGGGAUUAGCUAGUAGGUGGGGUAACGGCUCACCUAGGCGACGAUCCCUAGCUGGUCUGAGAGGAUGACCAGCCACACUGGAACUGAGACACGGUCCAG
rnacentral:rRNA from 1 species